UGGGGAAUAUUGGACAAUGGGGGCAACCCUGAUCCAGCAAUGCAGCGUGUGUGAAGAAGGCCUGAGGGUUGUAAAGCACUUUCAAUUGGGAGGAAAAGCUAAGGGUUAAUACCCCUUAGUCUUGACGUUACCAUUAGAAGAAGCACCGGCUAACUCCGUGCCAGCAGCCGCGGUAAUACGGAGGGUGCAAGCGUUAAUCGGAAUUACUGGGCGUAAAGCGCGCGUAGGUGGUUUUGUAAGUCGGAUGUGAAAGCCCCGGGCUCAACCUGGGAAUUGCAUUCGAUACUGCAUGACUAGAGUAUGGUAGAGGGAAGUGGAAUUCCAGGUGUAGCGGUGAAAUGCGUAGAUAUCUGGAGGAACAUCAGUGGCGAAGGCGACUUCCUGGACCAAUACUGACACUGAGGUGCGAAAGCGUGGGUAGCAAACA
rnacentral:rRNA from 1 species